rnacentral:rRNA from 1 species
UACGAAGGGUGCAAGCGUUACUCGGAAUUACUGGGCGUAAAGCGUGCGUAGGUGGUUCGUUAAGUCUGCCGUGUAAGCCCCGGGCUCAACCUGGGAAUGGCGGUGGAUACUGGCGGACUAGAGUGCGGUAGAGGGUGGUGGAAUUCCCGGUGUAGUGGUGAAAUGCGUAGAUAUCGGGAGGAACACCAGUGGCGAAGGCGACUUUCUGGCCUGUUCUUGACGCUGAGGCGCGAAAGCUAGGGGAGCAAACGGG